GUUGAAACAUCGGUAUUCGUCCGAUCACAGAAGUUAAGCAACGUCAAGCCUGGUCAGUACCUGGAUGGAGGACCGCUUCGGAAUAUCAGGUGUUGUA